GGAGAGGUGGCCGAGUGGCCGAAGGCGCGCCCCUGCUAAGGGCGUAUAGGGAGACCUAUCGAGGGUUCGAAUCCCUCCCUCUCCGCCA
rnacentral:tRNA from 1 species